rnacentral:rRNA from 2 species
AAUACCGAUGGGGAAGGCAGCCAUCUGGCCUAAUACUGCCGCUGAGGUACGAAAGCCAUGGGGAGCAAACAGGAUUAGAUACCCUGGUAGUCCCAUGCCGUAAACGAUGUCUACUAGCCGUUGGGGCCUUUGAGGCUUUAGUGGCGCAGCUAACGCGAUAAGUAGACCGCCUGGGGAGUACGGUCGCAAGACUAAAACUCAAAUGAAUUGACGGGGGCCCGCACAAGCGGUGGAGCAUGUGGUUUAAUUCGAUGCAACGCGAAGAACCUUACCUGGUCUUGACAUAGUAAGAACUUUCCAGAGAUGGAUUGGUGCCUUCGGGAACUUACAUACAGGUGCUGCAUGGCUGUCGUCAGCUCGUGUCGUGAGAUGUUGGGUUAAGUCCCGCAACGAGCGCAACCCUUUUCCUUAUUUGCCAGCACUUCGGGUGGGAACUUUAAGGAUACUGCCAGUGACAAACUGGAGGAAGGCGGGGACGACGUCAAGUCAUCAUGGCCCUUACGACCAGGGCUACACACGUGCUACAAUGGUCGGUACAAAGGGUUGCUACCUAGCGAUAGGAUGCUAAUCUCAAAAAGCCGAUCGUAGUCCGGAUUGGAGUCUGCA